rnacentral:misc_RNA from 1 species
GAUUGCUUAUUGAGGAAAGAAACUGCUUACCAACCAACCAAAAAUGGCUGAGCAUUUGCCCAUACCCACAAAUCGAUCCCUGAUGAAAUCGUGUUGCUGGACAUGUGUAACCCGUGGUUUUAAAACUUGUGCAGUCUCAUAAUUAGCUUUUGCAAUACUGUCCUCACAGUGCUUCCGUUGACGUAUCUUGGCUCCUCCAAAUACAAUAGUCAGAAGAGAGAAAGUCACGUGAACAAUUGCAAGGACAAAGAUGAAAAUGUGAAGGUGAUGCAAGGCUUCAAGAGAGAGUAAUGGUACCUUA